GUAUGUCAUGAGUGAACAGCGGAAGUUUCCUAGUCGUUUCGUAGUGGUUUUGACUAAAAUAGAUAUCAAGAGAGAUACAUAUAAUGCCUUCCUGCUGUGUAAGAAAAUGUUCCAACUCUUCGAAAAAGGGUUUUUCUAUGCAUCGCCUUCCACAAAAUAUGGAGCGAAAGAAGCAAUGAAUUGCGAAUAUUGGUAGGGAUUUCGACUUGUCCAAAAUAUAUUUUAUCUGCGAGGCACAUUUUCCAGCUGAGAUGUGGGAAAAGCCACGUAGUGAUGGCAAAAAGAAAUUAAAAGAGAUAGUUCCAACGAUUUUUUUGGACAACGGAUGUAGUCAAAAUAAAAAUGGUGCAACCUCUGUGCAAAUGACAUUGGUUCUGCUUCUUUACAUACUGAAGAUCAUAUUACUAAUAUUAAUAAUAUAAAUAAUGAAAAUUUCACCUGUAAUUCUAUCGACAACGUAAUAGAAUCGACAACGGACAAUAUUGAUGACAUCGAGAAAAUUAUGGAACAAUCAAAAGAAAUGAAAUUAAAACUUCAGCAAGCAAAUUUAAUUAUCAAUAAAUUAGAUAAGUCAAAGAGGAUGCUCAUAAAGCGUGUAAAAUGACUGAUGUACAGUAAUAGAAAAUUAACG